GACGUACGCUGGCGGCAUGCCUAAUACAUGCAAGUUGAACGAUGAUAUUCUCUGCUUGCAGAGAAUUGAAGAGUAGCGAACGGGUGAGUAACACGUGGGGAACCUGCCCAUGAGAGGGGGAUAACAUUCGGAAACGGAUGCUAAUACCGCAUAAUGCUUUGGACCGCCUGGUCCAGAGACGAAAGACGGCUUUUGCUGUCACUCAUGGAUGGCCCCGCGCCGUAUUAGCUAGUUGGUGAGGUAAUGGCUCACCAAAGCUGUGAUACGUAGCCGACCUGAGAGGGUGAUCGGCCACACUGGGACUGAGACACGGCCCAGACUCCUACGGGAGGCAGCAGUAGGGAAUCUUCCACAAUGGGCGAAAGCCUGAUGGAGCAAUGCCGCGUGAAUGAAGAAGGUCUUCGGAUCGUAAAGUUCUGUUAUUAGAGAAGAACAAGUCAAGGAGUAACUGUCUUGACUUUGACGGUACCUAACCAGAAAGUCACGGCUAACUACGUG
rnacentral:rRNA from 1 species